GAACUUCUGUCUUUCUGCUCCAGAGAAGAGCGGUGCAUCGGUGAAUAAUGCAAACUACUGGGCGUCAUGAGGCCCCAAAAUAUGGAUACAAAAUUUUGACAACAAGUGAAUUGCUCGACAUAAUAGGAAGGUCUGCUCUUUUUAAAUGAAACUGAUGAGAUUUUUCAUUUUGCAAUCAAGUGGUGUCACUGAUAAGGACACCGCUGCCUACAGAUCCUCUCGGACGGCGGAAAUUGAAGAAGAGACAUCAGCUGUAGAAGUUUACCUAUCUGAUUCAUUACUUCAAGAUAACAAGUUGAUGACCAUCAGCACAAGAGCAGUAGGUUGGCGAUACAGCAGCGAACGACUUGGGCCUGCAUCAUUGGACGACCAAUGGUGGCAAAGAUGAACGGCCUGGGAUUUGUACAUCUCGUAGAAAGGUGUAGAAAAGGUUAGAAAACACACAAAAACCAGUUUAAUACAUGUUUUUUUGGCUGCACAAACUUCGUGCAUUAAAAAAAAUAACUCGGUUCGAGUAAAAUAUGCUACUAUACAUACAUACACAUGUCCAUUACACUUUGGUAAAAUGAUUAGAUGCUACCACCAAUGGACAAUUUGAAACCCUAUGUUUUCUCUUCACCACACAUCCUCUCCCCAUCUUCUCGAGUGCUACGGUGUCCGCUCAACUUGGCACCGUAGAUGAACAAAGUAUAAAAUUUGUCUCUGCUGCAGUUAGAUGAACAAACGAUUAGAGUUGGUUCCAAAUGACCAUGUUCUGAUUGGUAUGGUUCACUCUGGUUUGGUUCUGACCCUUGGUACUUUUCUCUGCUAUUGCAAUCACAAGAACAUGAGCGCAGAGACAAACUUGUAUUAUUAUGGUUCCAAAACAAGGGGGAACCCAUCCAGCAUUACUACAAGGCAAUAGUAGAACAAGGAUUACUUACCAACAAUCGCGACAACGCAGCAGAGAAGCUGAAGAACCGCCGCUAGCUCCGAACCGAGGAGGAGUCAAGGAGAUCACCACAUAGGAUUAGAUAGAGGAGUGCAAGUGAAGCAACCUUUCUCUUAAAAAAAUCAACAAUCCAAACUUCAGAAAAUCAACAAACUGAACUUCGGAAAGAAAAACAAAUUGAACUUCACAGGGCCCUGCAAAAUAUACACGGUUAUAGUCCACUUUAUAAACUUCAGAAAAUCAAUAAACUGAACUUGUAGAGGGCCAGAUGCUGACCUUUCUAUUCGCAGCGCCGUUGCUGACCCGUAAUUGAAGAUCGAGGAUGAUGACCAGCACCUGGACGGGUUCUGGCAGCUGGUGUAGGCUAUCUAUGGAGGAGGGGCGAGCUAAUCUCUCUUAGAAAAACAAGGACAAAACAUCAGCUAAUCUCUCUCACACACGCAAGCUGAACUACAACAGCACCACCGAGAGCAAAAUAGGUAGGUGAGAACUCAUUUAUAUGCACACAUGAGUAUAUUCUUUGAUGUACCUGAACCUUUGCAACAGUUUUACAUGAACUUCUUGUGUUAUGAGGGAGAUAGCACUGAGCAUGAGAAGGUGUCUUCGUGCUCGUCGCUGUUUCUGAUGGCAGUGAACGUCUUAGGGCUGCGUAAUUGAACGACCGGAGGUGGCAGCGACGAACGACCUGAGCGUGAUGGGCCCCACUGGGAGGAGGCUGUGUGCUGUCCAGGAUAGAGUCAACCUUCUUCAACAAACCAAUUUGAACUUGAAAUAAACCAAUUCAUCAAAACACUUUUUGUGAACAUAUCAAACACUCUUGAGAGCACAAUUUUUCACUACAUUUUUUUCACAAACAUUUUGCUGCAACAAAUGGCAUCUUUUUUGUAAACAACAAGUACCAAAACAUCAUAACACAAAUUGCUAAAUGGAACAAAUUCCGGAGGAAUUUGCGGCAUUGUUGAACUGCAUAUCAUGAAAAAGAAAAUGUACACACACACACACACACACACACGAAGCAUCAACCUCCAAAUAUUCUAACUUUUACAAUUGAUAUUUCUGAACUUUUUGGGCAUGGUCCCAGGUUUUCAAAUGGAAUACAGGCACGUCCAUGCAUGAACAGCCAGCAUCGGCCAUGGCAAUGUCUCUUCUCCGGCAAACUGAAAUUCACUCAUGUGUACAGUACAGAAUACAUGAUUUGAGCCCUCAAAGACCACAAGAGGAUCUUAAAAUAAAAUUUUCAACCCUGAUACACACUCAUCUCAUGGGAAAGCCUUUCCAAUAUUAGAUUAGUAGCAUCACGUACAGAGAAAACUUGGCCAUAAAGUCAAUCAGUACACAAGAAGAUUGCUAUCUGUUUCAACAAAUUGAGAGAGAGAGCAUAGGCGUGGGUUCUUGGUGGAAUCCAUGAAUAAUUGUUUAAGCGAGUAAUGCAAGGGACAACCGUUGUACUGAGAAGAUCUGGACAAGAGACAGCUUGUAAGGGCAGUGGCCGUGAUUAGCAUCGGCCGAACAAUACCUGAACUGCAGGUGGGCGUGUUGGUGAGCGGCCGAGGCGGUUGGAGGACGAUUAUUCUCAUAGCUCGGGCAGCCAUCAGCAAGGAAUGUCGAUGGAUCUCUGCAAGAGAAGAUGCUCAGUUGUAGUAAUAACUAGCGGCCGAAGAGAUAGCACCAUGGACGGCCAAUGGAGACGUGGCAAAAGGAAGCUACUUAGCUGGAGGUGUGGCGCGACGAUUCAGGGGCUCAGGGGCUCAACCGGCCAGAUGCGGGCGGCGGGUCGCGCCAGCAGGAGCAACGGCCGGGCGGGCCGCGAUGACGGCGCGUGAGGUCGCCAGCUGCAGGUCUCGAUUGGGGUGUGCGCGCGCAAGAUGUAGGAGAGAUUGGGGAUCAUGGGGCUCGCGAGGUCACCGGCGGCGGCGCGCGCGAGGUGUUCGGUGGCGGCAGGAGGAGGAGGUGGGGGAGUUGGGAGGUUAGGGAUAAGGGUGAGCCGCUCGGUGGAUUUGUUUUCUCAUCGCGCGAUGAUUUUUUUUCUCGGGAACACCUCGUCGCGUCCUUAUAGGGCUAAUU
rnacentral:lncRNA from 1 species